rnacentral:lncRNA from 1 species
GAGUUUGACUGAGAUGCUUUGGAAUUUGAAUGGAGGAGUGUAUCAUGGAGAGAAUAGUGGGAUUGUGAUUGGGUGGAGAGAAUCAAUGAGGGAUAAGGGGAGAGAUUUUAGGAGUAAAUAAAGGAGUUUGUGGGAGAGGAGGAUUUGCGUGCUGUAUGGAGUAUGCUUGUGCCAAUUUUGGUCUAUGGCACUAAGGUAAUCGGCUUGGUUGAAGUUAUUUUUCCUCUGCUAGUGUGGUUUCGGCCGGUUUCACGCCUUUGUUUCUUUGCUUCUAGGUGACGUUUUUUGUUAGUUUUGGGGUACCUCUCGGGUUGUUUUUACCUAAUUUCUUUUUGGCCGAACACACUCUCCUCCCUCAUCUUUUCUUUUCUUUUCUUCUUUCUUUUCUAUUUUUUCUUCUCUUGUUGCUGAUUUUUCCCCUUCUCUUUUCCCUCUUCUUUACUUUGUGUGCCGAAUCUUUUUCCUCUUCUCCUUUUUUUUUCCAUUGACCGAAUAACCUUCUUUUACUGUUUGUGAUUUCAACCUUAUUUUAUUCUUUUUGACUAAGACAUAUCUAUUUUUUUGUUUGAGUGUGGUGUAUCCAAACAUUAUCAUUCGUAGUAUCGUUC